GUAGGGAAUAUUGGGCAAUGGUCGGAAGACUGACCCAGCCAUGCCGCGUGCAGGAAGACGGCCCUCUGGGUUGUAAACUGCUUUUAUCUGGGAAGAAAAAGGCCAUGCGUGGCAAAUUGCCGGUACCAGAUGAAUAAGCACCGGCUAACUCCGUGCCAGCAGCCGCGGUAAUACGGAGGGUGCGAGCGUAGUCCGGCUUUAUUGGGUUUAAAGGGUGCGUAGGCGGCUGAUUAAGUCAGCGGUGAAAGACUUCGGCUUAACCGGAGCAGUGCCGUUGAUACUGGUUGGCUUGAGUGUCGGAGGGGUACAUGGAAUUGAUGGUGUAGCGGUGAAAUGCAUAGAUACCAUCAGGAACACCGAUAGCGAAGGCAUUGUACUGGCCGACAACUGACGCUGAUGCACGAAAGUGUGGGGAGCAAACAGGAUUAGAUACCCUUGUAGUCC
rnacentral:rRNA from 1 species